GUCAGUGUGAUGCAGUGGUUUGAGUGUUGGACUAUGACUCUGGAGACCAGGGUUCGAUUCCCAGCUCAGCCA
rnacentral:tRNA from 1 species